rnacentral:tRNA from 1 species
GGGCCUGUAGAUCAGUCGCAGAUCGCUUGCUUCGCAUGUAAGAGGCCACGGGUUCAAUUCCCGUCAGGUCCA